rnacentral:rRNA from 1 species
UACGUAGGUGGCAAGCGUUGUCCGGAAUUAUUGGGCGUAAAGCGCGCGUAGGCGGUCCUUUAAGUCUGAUGUGAAAGCCCACGGCUCAACCGUGGAGGGUCAUUGGAAACUGGGGGACUUGAGUGCAGAAGAGAAGAGUGGAAUUCCAGGUGUAGCGGUGAAAUGCGUAGAGAUAUGGAGGAACACCAGUGGCGAAGGCGACUAUCUGGGCUGUAACUGACACUGAGGCGCGAAAGCGUGGGGAGCAAACAGG